UAAUUGAAGAGUUUGAUCAUGGCUCAGAUUGAACGCUGGCGGCAGGCCUAACACAUGCAAGUCGAGCGGUAACAGGGGAAGCUUGCUUCUCGCUGACGAGCGGCGGACGGGUGAGUAAUGUAUGGGGAUCUGCCCGAUAGAGGGGGAUAACUACUGGAAACGGUGGCUAAUACCGCAUAAUCUCU
rnacentral:rRNA from 2 species